rnacentral:rRNA from 1 species
AGUAAUGUAUGGGGAUCUGCCCGAUAGAGGGGGAUAACUACUGGAAACGGUGGCUAAUACCGCAUAAUGUCUACGGACCAAAACAGGGGCUCUUCGGACCUUGCACUAUCGGAUGAACCCAUAUGGGAUUAGCUAGUAGGUGGGGUAAAGGCUCACCUAGGCGACGAUCUCUAGCUGGUCUGAGAGGAUGAUCAGCCACACUGGGACUGAGACACGGCCCAG